CACAGAGAUUACAACAUUCCAUCAUGACAACAAUUUAUUACAUCAGAGUUUUUGGAAAUUCAAACCGGAAUUUUGCAUGGUUCAAGGUCAAAUUAAAACUAGCGGAAGCUAAACGUCGGUACAAGACAUCAUGACGGAGCCGAUCAUGACAUCAAAAAUUCCUUCCUUCGCCGUCCGAGGAAGGAUCCCACUCGACGGUCCAGCCUGGAGGAAACUGGGUCGGCCAAGUGGUACCAACACCCAAGCUACUGACAUUACCUAAAAAAGAUUAGCCACAACAAGGCUGAGCAACUAGUACUCAGCAAGACUGACCCGUCGGAAAGGCACGACCGAGACCUAGACAUGCAAGGCUUUCUGGCUCUGGGGUUUUCUUGCCAAAAGCGUCUAAAG
rnacentral:lncRNA from 1 species